rnacentral:tRNA from 2 species
GUUCUUGUAGUUGAAUUACAACGGUGGUUUUUCAAGCCAUUGGUCCUGGUUAAAGCCCUGGCGGGAAUU